rnacentral:misc_RNA from 1 species
GAUGAAGAACGUAUCGAAAUGCGAUACUUGGUGUGAAUUGCAGAAUCCCGUGAACCAUCGAGUCUUUGAACGCAAGUUGCGCCCGAAGCCACUAGGCCGAGGGCACGCCUGCCUGGGCGUCACACGUCGUUGCCCCCCCAUCUACUCCUUCGGGAUUGCGGGGGGGCGGAUGAUGGCCUCCCGUGCGCCUAGCCGCGCGGUUGGCAUAAAUACCAAGUCCUCGGCGACGCACGCCACGACAAUCGGUGGUUGCGAAACCUCGGUUGCCCGUCGUGUGCGUUCGUCGCGCAUCGAGGGCUCGAAAAAAUGCUCGGCUCCGGCUGGGCUUUCAACGCGACCCCAGGUCAGGCGGGGUUACCCGCUGAAUUUAAGCAUAUCAAUAAGCGGAGGA